AAGUCUGUUGUUGUAAACAUCCCCGACUGGAAGCUGUAAGACAGAGCCAAGCUUUCAGUCAGAUGUUUGCUGCUACCGGCU
rnacentral:pre_miRNA from 1 species